UGGGUUUGACAUGCCGGGAAAUCCUUCAGAGAUGGGGGGUGCCUUUGGGCGCCUGGUGCAGGUGGUGCAUGGCUGUCGUCAGCUCGUGUCGUGAGAUGUUGGGUUAAGUCCCGCAACGAGCGCAACCCUUGUCCCAUGUUGCCAGCGGGUUAUGCCGGGGACUCAUGGGAGACUGCCGGGGUCAACUCGGAGGAAGGUGGGGAUGACGUUACGGUCUUACU
rnacentral:misc_RNA from 1 species